GCCGAGAUGGUGUAAUUGGUAAACACGCUGCGUUCAGGUCGCAGUGAGGGUAACCUCGUGGGGGUUCAAGUCCCCCUCUCGGCA
rnacentral:tRNA from 1 species